GUUCGAGGUAAAUCAUGUUGCGCAGAAGAUCCCAAACACUAGAGUCGAUUUGCGCGAUUCGACUUGAAAAUUGCAUUGAGAAUCGUGAUUUAGUAGACCCACCUCUAUUUUGAGCUUUGUUAUCCCGCAUAAUCAAAAACCAUAAGUAAAACGCAACACUGAUCGAAAGAAACCCGCAGCCGGCAGCACAAUAAUUUUGUAAAAGAAAAUUUGUGGAAUAUUUAAAAGUGCGCUUGGUUACUGAAAUGUUUAGGAAGAUAACUAAACCUGGAGGUUUGCUGCCAGAGCUGGCUAAAAAGCAAAAACGAGCAGCCAACCAUGAAGAUAUUGAGAUGAAACAAAAAACAGAAGCGGCGAAUAUUCUGGAACUACCGGAAUUGUUCCAAGAACAACUUGAAAAUAAUAUAGGCCCAACGGCCUCGAAUUUGUAUCCAUCGAGACUCUCGAAGAGAACAAAAGCAGUAUUGAAGCGACAGAACCACCAGAAGAAAAUAACCAUGUUCCCAUAAGUGAUGAGAAUGGAAAUAUUUUUGAGGAAAUAUAUCAUGCAGAGGAAAUCGAUUACGAAGAGAUGGAGGUCCUGGACACCUGUCAAAAAGAUGACAUCAACAAGGAAGACACAAAAAAAACCGCAAGACGAAAAUGCAAUUCAGGUGUUGAAAGAACAAAAAUUAGAAUCUGACAAUCACGCGCUUCGUGUAUCGAAGGAAAACCUUACACUUCGGGAUUCGUUCAAAAUUACAUCGGUCGCUAGGCGGGUUUCACGGAGAGCGAUGGCAUCGAGAUCACCAAGAAAGAAAUGAAAAAGCUCUCAGAUCGUUCUGCAUCGGACAGCAUUUUCUGUGGAUUAUUAUUAAUGAAACUUGUUGAUGUAGAAAAAUUGAUGAUUAGCAGUGUAACAGGUAAACCGUGCCAACGAUUUGCAAAAGUUAAAAACUGCGAUGGAACCAGAGCUUACCCACCAGGAGAAAAACUUGAUCAAAACUUGUUUGAGUUUAUCUGCAACAAGGUUGCUGAGCGAAAUGCAAUAAAGUUUGGCGUCGAAAAUCUGGCUAUAAUCCGUGCAAAUUCAUCCAAAGCCAAAGUUGGCCAAUACAUUGCACAAAAAAUCCAAAAUUUUUAAAAAGCCCAUCAAACACGUGUUGAUAUAAACAUGAGCGCUCCUAAUAAUGCCAGCCAAGUAUGAAUCAAUCGAAAACGUGAAUAGUUAGUAGUA